rnacentral:tRNA from 1 species
AGUUUUUGUUCAGGAACUAGAUGAUUUUGAAAAUCAAUUACCAAGGGUUCGACUCCCUUAAAAACUU